rnacentral:rRNA from 1 species
CUCCAGACUCCUACGGGAGGCAGCAGUGGGGAAUAUUGGGCAAUGGGGGAAACCCUGACCCAGCGACGCCGCGUGAGGGAAGAAGGUUUUCGGAUUGUAAACCUCUGUCCUUGGUGACGAUAAUGACGGUAGCCAAGGAGGAAGCCACGGCUAACUACGUGCCAGCAGCCGCGGUAAUACGUAGGUGGCAAGCGUUAUCCGGAUUUACUGGGUGUAAAGGGCGUGUAGGCGGGGACGCAAGUCAGAUGUGAAAACCACGGGCUCAACCUGUGGCCUGCAUUUGAAACUGUGCUUCUUGAGUACUGGAGAGGCAGACGGAAUUCCUAGUGUAGCGGUGAAAUGCGUAGAUAUUAGGAGGAACACCAGUGGCGAAGGCGGUCUGCUGGACAGCAACUGACGCUGAGGCGCGAAAGCGUGGGGAGCAAACAGGAUUAGAUACCCUGGUACA